UCUCCUUCGCAUUUUCCCAUUUUUUCCCUGACGCAAGCCUUCUCGGUUUCCCGACGACAACCUUCUCAUUUUUCCCUAAUGGCAGCCUUCUCGUUUUUCCCCGACGCAAAGCCUCGCAUCGAGACGCCUUCACUUCCUCUCCUCCUUGCACGCUAGCACCGUCGAGAGAAUUGACCUUUGAUAGGUCAUCCUCUUUGGGAUUUUCUGGCCACAAGAAGAAGGGAAAUGCUUAGUUUGCGCUAGAGGCUGCUUUCUCUAAUAUAUUCGGUCCUGCAGCCCCAAGAGCUCGCCAACUAGGUUGGUUUCUAGCAUCUUCUGCCCAAUGGUUUCUGGCAUCUCCUGCCCUAUGGUACUCAGAGAACUUUGUUGUGGCUUGGCAAUUUAUACCUUUGGUUCUUUCACUUGUGCAUCAGGAUUUUUCUCAGAGCCUUAGAUUUAGUACGUGAGAAUGUGAGAGUUAGAGGAUCAGAUACGCUACAGGUGAUGAUAUGUGUGAAUUCUAUACUUAGAUUCGCUAAGAAAAGAAAAUUCAGAUAUUCUUGGAAAAGAAUAAAGGAGAAGGAUUGUUUGUUAUUAAACUUGUUUUUCUGUUAUCGUGAGAACAUUUUAUAUUGUGUUUGUAACUCAUUUUCAAUUCCUAUAAACAUAAUGAUACUUUUAUAAA